GACGAACGCUGGCGGCGUGCCUAAUACAUGCAAGUCGAGCGAAGUUUUUCUGGUGCUUGCACUAGAAGAACUUAGCGGCGAACGGGUGAGUAACACGUAAAGAACCUGCCUCAUAGACUGGGACAACUAUUGGAAACGAUAGCUAAUACCGGAUAACAGUAUUUCUCGCAUGAGAGAUAUUUAAAAGUUGGUUAUGCUAACACUAUGAGAUGGCUUUGCGGUGCAUUAGCUAGUUGGUGGGGUAAAGGCCCACCAAGGCGACGAUGCAUAGCCGACCUGAGAGGGUGAUCGGCCACACUGGGACUGAGACACGGCCCAGACUCCUACGGGAGGCAGCAGUAGGGAAUCUUCCGCAAUGGGCGAAAGCCUGACGGAGCAACGCCGCGUGAGUGAAGAAGGAUUUCGGUUCGUAAAGCUCUGUUGUUAGGGAAGAAUGGAUAUGUAGUAACUAUACAUGUAAGAGACGGUACCUAACCAGAAAGCCACGGCUAACUACGUG
rnacentral:rRNA from 1 species